ACGACCGUAGCUCAGCUCGUAGAGCGUCAUCCAGACUUGCACUCGUUGCAAGCCAUUUGAAGAUGUCUGUUCAAAUCAGACCGGUCGUA